ACGAACUCUUGAGUGCAUUUUCGUGAAAAUUUUAAACGAAAAUGUCAUAUUGAGUCAUUCUGACAUUAACUGGCCUUUACAAGGCGGGUACGCGUAAAUUUUUUGCGUUCCUCCGUCAGAUGCGAGGCCUACAUUU
ensembl:snoRNA Y43F4B.12 ncRNA